AGUGAACGCUGGCGGCAGGCCUAACACAUGCAAGUCGAACGGCAGCACAGUAAGAGCUUGCUCUUACGGGUGGCGAGUGGCGGACGGGUGAGGAAUACAUCGGAAUCUACUUUUUCGUGGGGGAUAACGUAGGGAAACUUACGCUAAUACCGCAUACGACCUACGGGUGAAAGCAGGGGAUCUUCGGACCUUGCGCGAUUGAAUGAGCCGAUGUCGGAUUAGCUAGUUGGCGGGGUAAAGGCCCACCAAGGCGACGAUCCGUAGCUGGUCUGAGAGGAUGAUCAGCCACACUGGAACUGAGACACGGUCCAGACUCCUACGGGAGGCAGCAGUGGGGAAUAUUGGACAAUGGGCGCAAGCCUGAUCCAGCCAUACCGCGUGGGUGAAGAAGGCCUUCGGGUUGUAAAGCCCUUUUGUCGGGAAAGAAAAGCAGCAGGUUAAUACCCCGCUGUUCUGACGGUACCCAAAGAAUAAGCACCGGCUAACUUCGUG
rnacentral:rRNA from 1 species